CAUUUUAUCCAUUGUCUUUAUGACUUUCUGUGUCUAUGGAGGACAACUUUGCCAAAUUCAGGGUUUGUAUGGCAGCAUAGUAGUGUCAAUAAUACUUAUUGUAGUAGCUGUGAUAAUGCUGAAUAUUACUGAGAAUUACUUAAGGUUGAGGGUUUUAUAUCUUGAACAAAAAAAAGUUAUUGUGUAAUAAUAUUUUUAUAGCACAUUUUAAAUCCAGACCUCAUCACAAUGCUGCUUAAUUGAUUAAGACUUUGAUCAAGUUUUACAGACAUACAUUAAAAUUAUAAAAUGUUCUUUGUCAUUGAACUCUACAGUUAUCCAUCAAAGAGUGUAAGAGAUUCAAUAGUGCAGUCCAUUUGUAGUCAUACUUGGAAAUUACAAGUUCCAGUCAUGAAAAUGAAAUGGAACGUUCUUCUUAACAUCGUUUUAAGCUUUACUUUUUAAAAUAAUACACUACUUUUAAUCUGUUUAGUUUAGAGCUACAUGUAACAUAAACGUUGCGUUUGUAACAAUGUUAAUGCAUUGUUUACAACAAUACAUUUGUAUUGUUUACAACAAUACAUUUGUAUUGUUGUGUUUAUAACAAUACAACAAUCCAUUAACAAUACAUUUGCCUUGUAAAACCCAUUUUGUAAAAUACAUGUUUCCAACACAGCGUACUAUUGUUGAGGGGCAGCCAUUUUGACAGGUGAAGUCGGUCUUAUAAGUCGUAACUGGGGCUAGUUGUUUCUCCCACUUUCUCAGUGGAAAAUCUGACUUCUGGGGGCGUUCCUGUUGAUUUUUCUGACUGGGAAGUGGGAAUUUUUCAGUUCUGAUUACAAAUGGAAAACACAACAUUUCAGCUUGUCAAAGUUCUUUAAACACUUUUUCACUACAAUCUAUCAUUUACAAUUCAGUACUGCCUCUAUGGACAGUGAUUUAAAAACCAAAGUGGACCUGUAAAGCUGUGAUGUUAAAUACCAUACGGUCGAAAACUUGGGUGCAAAAGGUAGCCUAGUGCUACAGUGUGCAUUGAAACAGUGUCUUCAAUCAGAGGCUUCUUCAAAUUCGCUGUAAUACAGACAGCUACAGGAGACCCUUCUUGCCCACAGCCGUCUCCAUCUAAAAUAACUCUGGAAAAUCUGAAUUAAUAUGAGUUACAACUGAACCCUUUGGGAUCAGUAAAGCAUUUUUGGAUUUGAAAGACAUCAUGUUGGUGGUUCAUUUCUAGAUCAAAAAUGGUGAGAAUUGUUGGUUUGAUGCCAAUUUUUUAAAUCUGGCCAACUGAUUGGUCCAUCUCUCGUAAACUACUGCUUUCUUGCUAGUUUUAAUUUGUAGUUUCAGGGCUGGAAUAAAUAUCUAAGAUUUUUUUUAAUCUUUAAACUUUGCCAUUAUUUUCUACCCAUACAGACAUUGUAGAGGCAAAUUCAUUGACUUACUGUGACAUGUGGUUCCUUCUAGUGUUUGCAUAACUUGAUAUCACUCCCAGGGGACGUUGUCUUUGUGCAGCUGAGUGUGCCUGGAGGCAAGUGUGCCGCCCUCAGUCACACAAUCUGAGCCCCUCCCUCACAUAUCUGCAGCCCCCACGGGAUUCGUGCUCGCGUUGGGAGUUAUUGUUUCCAGGGAGCUGGUGUUUUCGCUCACAAAAGAAGCCCAGCUGGAGGAGAGGCAUUCAUGAUGUGGCAAAUAACAGCUGAAGAGCCAGUUAGACAUUAAUCAGUGUGACAUUAAGAGUCCCAUAGGGGUCAGGAUUUAUAAAAACCUGCAGGCCCACAGGUAGGGUCAUUCAUAGGAAGUGUAUUAUUGCUCAAGAUGAACGCCAUCAAAAAGAAUUAGCUUGAUUAAGGAUCAAUCUGAAUAUUACUGUGUUUUAGGGUUGUAUUUGUAAGAUUUCAAUAGGAUUGUAACAAAACAUAUAAAAUGAGCUGAAAGAUGAUUCCUAAAACACUGAGGAAACAAAGCAAAGUGUCAAAAAGUAAAAACACCUCAGAAACCUUUCACCCUGCAGUGAACAAUGGUGACAUUGUUCGUCCAAAUCUGCUUACAAACUAGUUCGUUGUACCCAGAAUAGACAAGUGCAGGUUCUUCUUUUGUUGCCUCAAUGUUAAACAGGUGAACCCCACAGUACCUUGCAAACGUUUUCACAUAAUUAUAAAGUUUUAUGUAUUUUAUUGAGAUUUUAUGCAACAGACCAACACCAGUGGAAGAAAAACAAUGGAAAUGCUUUCAAAUAUAGCCCUGAUAAAAUGCAUUUGGGGCUGAAACAAUCAACUAAUUUAGUAAUCAAUUAGCCAUUAAGAUUAUAUAGACCCA